UUAUGACGUACUUGUACUGAUUGAGAUUUUAACACGAAGUGAGUGGCGAACGGGUGAGUAACACGUGGGUAACCUGCCCAGAAGUAGGGGAUAACACCUGGAAACAGAUGCUAAUACCGUAUAACAGAGAAAACCGCAUGGUUUUCUUUUAAAAGAUGGCUCUGCUAUCACUUCUGGAUGGACCCGCGGCGUAUUAGCUAGUUGGUGAGGUAAAGGCUCACCAAGGCAGUGAUACGUAGCCGACCUGAGAGGGUAAUCGGCCACAUUGGGACUGAGACACGGCCCAGACUCCUACGGGAGGCAGCAGUAGGGAAUCUUCCACAAUGGACGCAAGUCUGAUGGAGCAACGCCGCGUGAGUGAAGAAGGGUUUCGGCUCGUAAAGCUCUGUUGUUAAAGAAGAACGUGGGUAAGAGUAACUGUUUACCCAGUGACGGUAUUUAACCAGAAAGCCACGGCUAACUACGUGCCAGCAGCCGCGGUAAUACGUAGGUGGCAAGCGUUAUCCGGAUUUAUUGGGCGUAAAGCGAGCGCAGGCGGUCUUUUAAGUCUAAUGUGAAAGCCUUCGGCUCAACCGAAGAAGUGCAUUGGAAACUGGGAGACUUGAGUGCAGAAGAGGACAGUGGAACUCCAUGUGUAGC
rnacentral:rRNA from 1 species